AGGAAUAUUGGACAAUGGUCGCAAGACUGAUCCAGCCAUGCCGCGUGCAGGAAGACGGCCCUAUGGGUUGUAAACUGCUUUUGUACCAGAGAAAACCUAUCUACGUGUAGAUAGCUGAUAGUAUGGUAAGAAUAAGCCCCGGCUAACUUCGUGCCAGCAGCCGCGGUAAUACGAAGGGGGCUAGCGUUGCUCGGAAUCACUGGGCGUAAAGGGCGCGUAGGCGGACAUUUAAGUCAGGGGUGAAAUCCCGGGGCUCAACCUCGGAAUUGCCUUGGAUACUGGGUGUCUCGAGACCGGAAGAGGUAAGUGGAACUGCGAGUGUAGAGGUGAAAUUCGUAGAUAUUCGCAAGAACACCAGUGGCGAAGGCGGCUGACUGGUCCGGUUCUGACGCUGAGGCGCGAAAGCGUGGGGAGCAAACA
rnacentral:rRNA from 1 species